CCUACGGGGGGCUGCAGUGGGGAAUAUUGGACAAUGGGCGAAAGCCUGAUCCAGCCAUGCCGCGUGUGUGAAGAAGGCCUUCGGGUUGUAAAGCACUUUCAGUGGGGAAGAAAGCCUUGGGGCUAAUACCCUCGAGGAAGGACAUCACCCACAGAAGAAGCACCGGCUAACUCCGUGCCAGCAGCCGCGGUAAUACGGAGGGUGCGAGCGUUAAUCGGAAUUACUGGGCGUAAAGCGCGCGUAGGCGGUCUGAUAAGCCGGUUGUGAAAGCCCCGGGCUCAACCUGGGAACGGCAUCCGGAACUGUCAGGCUAGAGUGCAGGAGAGGAAGGUAGAAUUCCCGGUGUAGCGGUGAAAUGCGUAGCGAUCGGGAGGAAUACCAGUGGCGAAGGCGGCCUUCUGGACUGACACUGACGCUGAGGUGCGAAAGCGUGGGUAGCAAACAGGAUUAGAUACCCUGGUAGUC
rnacentral:rRNA from 1 species